GUAGGGUUAGUUACGCCACUGGGUAUUAGCAUAUAUAUCAUGACCAGUUUCCAUGCCUGACUAACACGCCACGCCUUAGUGCACUAUAAAAUGCCACCAGAACUGGCACAAUUUUCCAUAUGUAGUAGGUGUUCACAGCAAUACGAAGGACCGCUGAGAUAAGGUAUGUAAUAUAAUACAGUGAUACUAAUUUUACUAGUGUCAUUGAACUAAUACUAGUGUCAUUGAUGUGCUUUUAUUGUAUAGAGAUGCAUGUGGGUAUCAGUGUAGUGUUUUAUGUACAUGGUGCAAAAAAUGUUGCUAAAUAUAUUUUAGUAACAUAUGUACAUGCCAGGAGACACAUGCAAGGUCAAAAACAUAUAGUGAACAACUUCGUCAAUCUGGAAAAUGUGCCAUACUUGACUUGGGCCGCAUUUUCCAACAUAGUGAAACCCACGGUUAUACCAUCCCUAUGGCUAUGAAGCUCUUUUUUGCUUUCGAUAUGUUAGAUUAUUUCAUUUUAGCCACUCCUUGUACUAAUGACAGUUUAUAUGUAACAGAAGUAGUUUUCUUAUUCAAUUUCUUUAUUAUAGUUUCUCUAUACGACAGAAUUGAAAGAUGUACAAUUGUUUUCUAUCAGCAACCACUCUAGUUCUUCUAACAGGUA
rnacentral:lncRNA from 1 species